rnacentral:rRNA from 1 species
GGCCAAGUUUUUAAGGGCGCACGGUGGAUGCCUUGGCACCAGGAGCCGAUGAAGGACGUGGUAGGCCGCGAAAGGCCUCGGGGAGCUGUCAAACGAGCUGUGAUCCGAGGGUGUCCGAAUGGGGAAACCCGGCCGUAUGUGAGUGCGGUCACCCACGCCUGAAUAUAUAGGGCGUGUGGAGGGAACGACGGGAAGUGAAACAUCUCAGUACCGUCAGGAAGAGAAAACAACAGUGAUUCCGGGAGUAGUGGCGAGCGAAACCGGAAGAGGCUAAACCGUUUGCGUGUGAUACCCGGCAGGGGUUGCGCAGGCGGGGUCGUGGGACUUCUCAGUCAGAUCUGCCGGUCUGGCACAGAGUAAGAAACCAGUUGUGUAGUCGAAGGCGAUGCGAAAGCGCUGGCAUAGUGGGUAAAACCCCCGUAGACGAAACAUGACUGGCUCUGGAGGAGUAUCCCAAGUAGCACGGGGCCCGAGAAAUCCCGUGUGAAUCUGGCGGGACCACCCGCUAAGCCUGAAUACUCCCUG